rnacentral:tRNA from 1 species
GGUGACAUGGCGCAACGGCAGCGCACCCGACUGUCUAUCGGAAGGUUGCGGGUUCAAGUCCCGUUGUCACCG